AUGGUCAGAAACUACCAGUACAAUGAUCUUAAGUGUCAUCUGUUCAUUCAUUUUUUAAUCAGAAUAUUUACUAAGCAGACAACAUGGGCACAACUCCUAUGGAAAAGCACAUAUGGAGAGGUCUUCAAGUGGUCAGCCAAAGGUCCCUGUGAGACCCAGUCUUCCCUAGACCUUCUGAAGUGUCCUAAAAUACUGUCAGUAAGAAGUGUAUUCAUUGUAGAUACCUGCUAUGCGAGAAGACGUUCUUUAGAAUUCCAAGACUUUUGUCUUCAUUUCAGAGUCAACAUGACACGGUGUUUAAUCUAUCUGAUUGCUGUGCAAGGUUACCUUCACAAAUUAAGAGAGGGCUCAAAGUAUUUUUUAAAGAAAUUACCAGUGUUAGCCCUAGACUGCCUUUUUGCCUUAACUGAUAUCCCACUUUCCCUUAGAGAUACUUAACUUUAAAAUUGAGUCAGCACUGAAAAAAAAAAAAAAAAUCCACACUAUCAAAAUGCACUCUGUAGAAGUGACUAGAAUCAGUAUUUUAUUUACAGAUCCAAGAUGCAUUCAACAUGGCUGUCUCACCAGCCAAGGCAGGGUGAAAGUCAGGGUCAUUUUCGGAACUUCAAUUAAAUAGAUUACAUUCAGCAGGGGCACAAAUGGAGGCCAUUAUCAUUAAAGUUGAGUUGAGAGAGAGGUUGCAAACGUGGGCACCGCCUGAAGAUCACAGGAAAAUGUGUGUUUGUGCUAGAUCUGUAAAGAGUUGGCUUUUAUUUCUUUUCCCUGGAAGUUACACUUGCCAGGAAUCAUGUAUCUGACUAUAAUAAUGAGGUUAUAUGACUUUACAUAUUGAAAAGAUACCUAAACAUAAUAACAAUAUUACUUUGAACUUGCACUGGACUCUUCAUCCAAGAACUUCUCCAUCAUUAGCUAAUCGAAUCUCACGGUGUGGAAAUGAAAGUAUCUACUUACCUCACUUUACCAAAGGGAGUGUUUCUGAGGGGUUAAGUGACAGUGAACAUUUAAAUGGAAGGUAGUAGGGAAAUGGGGACAGAAAUGUCUUGCUGAAUAAUGUAGAUAUCUGGGAAUGAAACUCAAAGGUUCACAUAAGGGCCAUUCAUCUAAUCGAACACUUUAAUUUUUUUUUUAAUGUUUAUUUUUGAGAGAGACAGAGCAUGAGCAGGGGAGGUGCAGAGAAAGAGGGAGACACAGAAUCGGAAGCAGGCUCCAGGCUCUGAGCUGUCAGCACAGAGUCCAAUGCGGGGCUCGAACUCACGAACUGUGAGAUCAUGACCUGAGCCGAAGUCAGAUGCUCAACCAACUGAACCACCCAGGUGCCCCUAAUCGAUCACUUUAGAAGGCUACAUCUAAAUGUCACCAGAUAUAUAGAAAAUGCUGCUUUCAUAAGUUCUCAGAAAAGGACACUCUUCUAAUUCUUCUUACCAAACUAUGUUGAUGUCUUUACAAAUUAAGUUCUUUAUAAAAUAAAUUUUUGUUUUCA
rnacentral:lncRNA from 1 species